UACAGAGGUCUCAAGCGUUGUUCGGAUUCAUUGGGCGUAAAGGGUGCGUAGGCGGCGCGGUAAGUCGGGUGUGAAAUCUCGGAGCUUAACUCCGAAACUGCAUUCGAUACUGCCGUGCUUGAGGACUGGAGAGGAGACUGGAAUUUACGGUGUAGCGGUGAAAUGCGUAGAUAUCGGGAGGAACACCUGUGGCGAAAGCGGCUCACUGGACCACAACUGACGCUGAUGCGCGAAAGCUAGGGGAGCAAACAGG
rnacentral:rRNA from 1 species